UCACUUAACUGGAGACAGUCAAGAUAACAAGAUGUUCUGUUACUCUUGUCCUACUUUCAGGUGCUCUGAGUCCAGAGUGAAAGAUUUUCAUGUCGCUGUCUACGUUCACUUCGGCCCUCUUCUCCAGUGCUCCUGGCUAUGUGGCGGGAGACAUCAACAGGUACCACAAGGCAACCUGGGGCAGCCCACUGGUGAGGAGACCACACUGUGAUCUCAGCUGAGCAGCAUCACACCUCUUACACCUCACUGUGUGUGUCUGUGUGUUUAUGUGUGUCUGGGUCUGUGUAUGUGUGAGUGCGUGUGCAGAGGGGACCGAGGAGAGGAACAUGCCCUUCCUGGGCACAGACCAGCUUCCAGGAGUUGGAAGCCUGAUACAUCUUUUGUGUUCAGACCCCAGAUCAUAGCAGGCAAGAUGAGAAGGUGAGUUCUGGACACCAAGCUCAACUUCCAAUGUUAGUCAUGAGCCCAAGAGCCUCUUUCACUUGGCUUCCUCCUUGCCAGAUGUCUCCACAGCUGCCCCUCUGGCCUGAACAGGAGAACACAAUUUCUAAUGGGGGUGUUCCCUUGGGGGUGAUGUUGAGGGAGGGGAGUACCCUAAUGUCUCUUGGCCUUGUAUAUACGGGGCACUGUAUUUGCAGAGCUGCACCAAGGAGAUCUUGGAGGAGAUGGUCUGUGGCUUCAACUAUUCCCACUCCCUAGACAAUUAGGUGCACCAGACAAACAAGGAUCAGUGCUGUUCUGAGGUGAGAAAGGGAAGAGGGCUCACCACAGAAAUAUGGCCCCCCCCACAAACAUGGAGAGAAAACUGGGGCCCUCUCAUAGUGUUUCCACAUGAGUGUCCCACAGGCCCAACUGCAAAGACAUCUGAACCUCCACGCCUAUCCUCCAGCUACAUAUGAUGUGGGAAGACACUCUUCACCUGUAUUGGAAUGGUGUAGAAUAGAUUUCGUGUUUUUGAGGAGUUGGUGGGGGGGGGGUGUUGUUUUUUCACAAAGCCAUGAGUAUCUUUGCGUUUUACUUCUGUUUUUAUUAUUUCAUGUACUCCUCCCAGCUAUCCGGUGUAGAAGCCAGCUCCGCUGUCCCUGCAGACCUUCUCCGAGCCCUUCCAAAUCAUCACAUUAAAUAGGGUGAUUUAACACAAAAGGAAGGGUGUGAUGAAGCUAUUGCAUAUGUUUUCAUAUAGAAUGUUUAUAUAGUCUCUCUCUAUAGAUUCUAUAUGUUUCUCUAUAACAUGUCAUCUCUCAGAACACAUCAAAUCAUUGUAGGCCCAACAGAUCAUGAGCUGUAUCCCUAUAGAUCUUUGUAGUAGCCCGUAAAUGAGGCCGUCUGCCACAGGGAUUCAGACUUUUGAGGCCCUUGGCACUUGACCGUAUGCCAUUCUCUUGCUAUUUCUGCAGUGCUGCAAGGAACACCUUAUGUGUCCCCACAGACUGUUUUGGUUGCUAGAUCUGCCAUAACCUGGAACCCCAGAUUAGGGGGAAGGCCUCUGAUGCCUCCUGGCACAGUAGCUGGCUCUUUUUGUAAUUAUCCACCCAGGAAAUCUUGGAUGAGUUGCUCCAAGAGUUCAACUCCUCCAUCUCCUCUGACAAGCACAGGGGCAUCAGGCCACCAACUACAUCCAUUGAAGGUCUGCGGUGAGUACAGGUCCACAUCCAUGGUCAAACUCAAGACACAGAGAUGAACAGGGAAAUACCAGAACACAGACUAGAAACAACUGAUGCCCUUGGGCCCUGCCGGAGAAGGUAGUUUUCCCCUGACCCUUCUUCCCUAUGUCAGGAACAGACCAAGCCACAUCAGCUUAAGGGAAACCCCAUGCAGCUCACGCUCUGGUCUCUUCUCAGCUGCAAUGUAUGUGAUCUUGAGCAGCAUUUGAGGGUCUAGCCCUCUGUGUUCUGUGUGAGGCCAUAACUGAAGACUCAAUGGCAUACUGGUCUUCAUAAAACUAUUAGUUGAGAGGACUGCUGUUGUUGCUCAGCUAACAGAAUGUGUUGAAGUUACUAAUGGUUUACCAUGUCUUCCCUAAAACCAAUGAUACUUUGAAGCCUCAAACCUUUUUCUGUGUGGGCACUCAAGUCCCUUAUCUUGUAAAACUUCCCGAGGGGAUGGGAAUCUCUGGUCUGCGAGGCAGACCCUGAUCUUCGCAGUGGUUCUUGGUCUGGAAGCUGACUACAGUGCUCCUCCUUGUGUCUCUGGUGUGAAAAGGAAUCAACCCUAUUCCUAGGUGAGGCCAGGACCAUGCUGACGCUCAAAGAAGGGAGAAUGGAUAAUUUUGUACAUUCCUUGGUACCAUCCUUCCAGGAUAGAAGCCUCGCAAACAACCCAGUCAUUUCCUGUAUCUACGAGGUGUUCACCACAGCCCAACAGGUCCUGGGCCAGCAAUUCCCCAGUGCCAGAUCCACGGCUCCUUCCAGCAUCUCCUCCAUCAGCUGUUCCAGAUCUGGAACAAGAGCUCAUGUCUUCUUCUGCAUGUGUACCAGGUCAUGAGCUGCAGUCAGUUUGACCACCAGCUUUCCUGGGAAUUGUAACUCCUUCCUUAAACAUAGAGACAGAGCCACCUCCAGCCCGAGAGGUGAUCUGCCACUGGUGCAUAACCCCUGAGCACCAGCGGCAUGAGGAGGAGCCCGGUCUCAUGGACUUCCCUCCCAAGCUGGUGGCAGAGCAAUUGACAUCUGCAGAUGUGGAUCUGUUCAAGAAGGUGCUGCCCCAACAGUGCCUGGGCUCCAUUUGGUCCAAGCGAAAUGACCUGGAAAUGAGCACCUGGCAUGCACAGUCCGUGCCACCAUCACCCAGUUCAACGACGUGGCCAACUGCGUCAUCACCACCUUCCUUGGCAACCCACGCAUGACUGCCCGGGACAGGCCAUGGUGGUGGAACACUGGAUCAAGGUGGCCAAGGCCUGUCAAAUCUUGCGUAACUACUCUUCCACGCAUGCUAUCAUUUCUGCUCUGCAGAGUGCCUCAAUUCACCGCCUGAAGAACACAUGGACCAAAGUUUCCAGCCCUGCAGGAAUGGCCAUCUAAACUUGGAACCCUGGGGAUAAAUGUUCAGAGAGCAUGGAAGAGGGAGCGGCAGAAGAAGCUGAGCGUGCCCCAGAUACAUGGCCUCGAACCCAGAGGAGAGGGGGGCUCUUCGCUGAAAGCUGGAACCCCCCAAAUCAAGACAGGUGGGGCCUUCCAACUCCAGCUCUGCCUCCUGUUGCCACAGCUUCUAAAACCCUUCUUUCGAAGUGACCUGGAAGAGGGUCUAUAAACCUGGAUACAAAUGUGUUUGUCGGUGGGCAGGGGCCCAGGGCCACAUAUACAAUGAUUUUCUAAAGCACGCCCUUGACAUGAUUAGGAGGACUCUGAUGUUCUUGGAGGGUGAGGGAAGGGUCCUUGUCUGCACCAUGUAGAAGCUGGGGUGGGCCAGGAGGCUGAAAUGUUUCCCAGGGAGGAUCCCUGUGGACACGAGAGAGCAGGGACUCACUCCACCCCCAACCCCCUGACACAGGGUGUCGUCCCCUUCCUUGGCACCUUCCUCACUGACCUGCUCAUGCUGGAUGCUGCAAUGGAGAAGUGCCUGGAGGAGCGUGAGCCUGAGGGCCGGGAAAGAG